rnacentral:misc_RNA from 1 species
AACCUUAUGGACCUGCGGGCGUAUACCUGCGGAAGGAUCAUUAAAAAGAGUGUGUACCCCUCUGUAAAAUGAGUGGGUUACCUCCCGUCCUUUGUUGACCUCUUAGGAGGUUAUUUUGAACUUUCUGCUUCGGUGGGGUUAAACCUACCGGAACACCCUCAAAUUCUUAUCAUUUAAAAAUUGUUCAGUCUGAUUUUUGUUAAUAAAAACAAAAAACUUUUAACAACGGAUCUCAGAUCG